rnacentral:snRNA from 1 species
AAUCCUGCUCAGCCUGUGGGUGUAGAUCAUGUGUGGUAUCAGUUUAAUAUCUGAUAUACUCCAUCCAAAGAAAAGGUAUUAAAAUAUUUUUUGAAAUAGCAGAUGAAAUCAGGUUUGUUCCAUCAACUCCGUGUAUUGUCUUGAUAUUAAAAUACUUUCAGGAAUGAUGGGCAAGUU